rnacentral:lncRNA from 1 species
ACUUAAAGAUACAGUUGAUUGACUCUGGGACUAUGACAAGAGUCAACCACCCAAAUUCCUUUUAUUAUAUACAAGCUGAAUGGUUACUAGGGGUUAACACUAAAUAGACUUACAGUCGCAUUGUGACAAUGAUGACAGUCAUCUUUAACUCUUGUAAACUUCUUUAUGCUGAAAACAUAUCAUUUUUAUGCAUCAAUACACGAAUUAUAGGGAGCUCCUGUAGAGAACAUGUAGAAGGGUCAACUUUGUGGAAUGAAUAUUUUCCAUGUAAAAGAAAUGUUGACCUCCUGUAUUCAAAACUCCAUUAAAAGAAAUAUUGACAGCUGACACAGUGUGUUCUACAUUAAAAACAUUUAAUUAGUCUGCACAAAACAACAAACAGAAAGUUAAUACUCAUAGUACAUUUGAGACAUUGAAUAUAUGUAUACCAUAAAUUGUCAUCACAUCACGAAUCCUACAAUACCAUUGGUAUGUAGGUCUUCAACACAAAAUGGCAAAAAUAUAACUUUAUCAAUGAUUACAGACAAACAAAUCACAAUAAAUCAAGGUUUUCUUUCAUAUUAGAAUCAAAGUAAAUACAUUGUAUAUAUUCAUUAAAGUUAUAAAGAUUUUUUUGAAGAAUUACUAUAACUCAGCUGCAGCAAAAUUUUAAUACUUUAUUAUCAUGUCUGUCCAGCCAUUGCUACGAUUUGAAUGGAUUUUGGAGAAGAUAUAAUUACUUUAUACCCAAUCCUGCAGAUUUACAGUAGUUUUACCUUACUUAUACUGUCUAAGUACUGACAGUGCAGCUGUGCAGUUACAUAGAUAAAGCACACAGCAAAAACAAAAUGUGACUUUCAGUUGCGACAGCACACACCACUAAUUUUUUUCUAUUCAUUUUCAAGAAAGAUAUAUUUAGAUAUUUUUAAUACUUUAGCCAGUCAGUCCCUUGAAAUGCCAAAAUGAUUCAUAUAGUAACAUUAAAUGUGCAUCGUACGUUCUUUACGCGUAUCUGAAGGCUUCAAUGCCACUGACAUGAAUAUUUUGUGACCUUUCUUUUCAUUUGCCGUCCUUAACAUAUAUAAUUCACAAUUGUUUAUUUCUAUUGAAGAAUUACUAGCAAUCAUAUACAUUUUGAAUCAAUUUUAGCUAAAAAUGUGGCGAUUAAUUUGUAAAGUACAUGUAGAAAAGUAGUACUAUAUUUAAAGCCUCUUUUGGUUUAUACUGGAAACACAGCACCAAACAACAUUGAAAGCAACAAAUCACUGUCCAGAAAUACAUAUUGUCAACUUUUCAUUAAAACAUUGACUAUUAAUUUUGUCUCAUAUCUUUAAAAAAACCCUCACAAUUAAUAGAAAAUACAUAUUUGCUAAUUUGAGGAACAGAUAUAGAUUAACCUUAAAUUAAUGUAAGUUUCAUGCCUCUAUUAAUGAAAUUUGACUGUCCUGUUUUUCCCAUAUUCUAUUCUUCCAAUGAGUCUUCCUCUUUGAGAGUCAUCAACAAAUGAUGACAUCAAUUCAUACCAAUAGUUUCCUUCAGCAAGAUAUUUAUCCAAAUUGUGCUGCACUCAACCCAGGUGAGGUGAAUGGGUACCUGGCAGGAAUUGAUUCCUUGAAAUGCUGAGUGCUGGAAAUCCUGUUUGAGCUACAGCCGGGGUAAUAAUAUCCAAGUCCUUUGGAAGCACAGAGACAUUCAUAAUGUGUUAUGCGCUAUACAAGAACUGACUAUUAUUAAAAACAACACCAAAAGGAGAUAGAGCAUAACAAAAAGGGGUAUACUCACUAUACUCGUGAGAAAAAUGUUAUGUGCAAAUUUACCACAACUACGUGUAUCAUCUAAUUUUGCAGUAUGAAUAAAAAUGUGAGUAAACCUCCCCAAUAAGUAAAUGUUAGUAAAGGUGGCAUUUUUUCAUAUUCUAUUUUCUUGUUGGACAAGCAAAUAUGAUUCGAACACAUUUUGAAAACUGUUUCGUCAUAAACUACUUUUUACUAUCAGCUUGCAGAGAUUGUUCCUUGGGGUCCUAUAUAUUUCAUUUUUAUUUGUUGCCCAACCCCCCCCCCACUUCUCUGAUUAUUCUCCAAAAUAAACAGCAUGGAGCUGUGCAGAGUAAAGGAUGGAAGUUGGUUUAUAGUAGCCUAUAUAUCAAACUAGAUUUUGAAACACAUCUUGAAUAGAAUUUGAAACAUAUCUUGUCGUCUGAUGUUUCUAUUUUAUUCGUCCGAGAUAAACAGCGUGGAUCAGAACAUAGUGAAGGAUAGAGGUUGAGUUAUAAUAGCCUGUAUAUCCCACAUACAUUCGUAAUUCCGAAGGUUCGGUUAUUCUGAAGGUUCGUAUUUCCGAAGUGUAACCAUAUAUCCAACCAGCUAGCUAUUGAAACAGAAAUAGGAUGCGUUCAUAGACAACAUCUUAAUACCAAUGUUUGAGAUAGUUCUUCAGUGACACCCUUAAACCGGAGAAUGAUAAUGAGAGGGUGCAAUCCAAACUGCGAUUGAAGAAUUGCAAUUUUGACGUGGUUGGUGCCUCAGCCACAUCGACAAACCAAACCUCAGACCCACCAGAUUUACUACAUUAUUACCAAUGGCAUGCGAUCGGUCGAAUUUGAAUCAAUUUCGUCGAUGUGACUGACUGUACCACUAGCAGGUGCCCGCGGCAGCUGCCUCGAGAGUCGAAGGCUCGUUAUGAUACCAGUAUCGGCUUUUCAGUUUCCAUCAUUGCAGCAUUGAUGUAUUAUACGUUUGAAGGAAAGGUGGUGACAA